rnacentral:rRNA from 1 species
UACGUAGGGGCUAGCGUUAUCCGGAAUUACUGGGCGUAAAGGGUGCGUAGGUGGUUUCUUAAGUCAGAGGUGAAAGGCUACGGCUCAACCGUAGUAAGCCUUUGAAACUGGGAAACUUGAGUGCAGGAGAGGAGAGUGGAAUUCCUAGUGUAGCGGUGAAAUGCGUAGAUAUUAGGAGGAACACCAGUUGCGAAGGCGGCUCUCUGGACUGUAACUGACACUGAGGCACGAAAGCGUGGGGAGCAAACGGGAUUAGAUACCCCGGUAGUCCCUGAGCGGGCUGG